UCUCCAAGUCCCCGCUCAUCUCAGGAGCCCAGCUGACUUCCCCCAGUGGAUCGUUUUAGGGCUGCAGGCGGAGCUGCCCACCACUCCUAUACUGUGGCGAGGGGCAGGGAGCAUCUGUCGGGGAGCCCAAGCCUCAGGCAGGUCCUUCAGGAGGGAUUCCAGAAGAAGGCAUUGUUAUCAUAGGAGAUGACAGCUCCAUGCCUGUUUGUGCCCGUGAAGACCUCCCAGUGGGACAAGAUGUGGAGGUGGAAGACAAUAAUAUUGAUGAUCCUGACCUGUGUAAAGGCCAAGCCUACACAGCGUUAACUGCAGUGGAAGAUUGUGCUUUUAUCAGAAGCAGCUGAACACCUGAGGACAGGAACAUGGCUGAAGCAAUUCAUUUCUCCAAUUCACUUUGUUCUACUUUAUCAUCAUCAUUCCGGUAUUAUCAUCAUGUUCAUCAGAUUCUCCAUCUAAAAAAGAUUUAUCACAGUGUCUGCAUCUGCAGGCGAUACUACAAUAUAGAUAAAACCAUUGCUCCCUGCCUGCUCCGGAUGAGUUUGCAAAGAGGUAUGGUAUAGAAGAAACACUUUGUGCUUUGAAGCAAGACAAAACUGAGUUAAAAUGGCAAUCUUAGCCUGGGCAACAUAGUGAGACCCCCAUCUCUGCAAAAAAUACAAAAAUUAGCUGAGC
rnacentral:lncRNA from 1 species